UACGUAGGGACCGAGCGUUGUCCGGAAUCAUUGGGCGUAAAGAGCGUGUAGGCGGCCUUUUAAGUCCUGCGUGAAAUCCUGCGGCUCAACCGCAGACGGUCGUGGGAAACUGGAAGGCUAGAGUGCGGGAGAGGAGACUGGAAUUCCUGGUGUAGCGGUGAAAUGCGCAGAUAUCAGGAGGAACACCGAUGGCGAAGGCAGGUCUCUGGGCCGAUACUGACGCUGAGGAGCGAAAGCGUGGGGAGCGAACAGG
rnacentral:rRNA from 1 species